CGAAUUGUGGUAUGUAAUGUGAAUUGCAGAAUUCAGUGAAUCAUCGAAUCUUUGAACGCACAUUGCA
rnacentral:rRNA from 1 species